rnacentral:rRNA from 1 species
CGGGGUGCAGCAGGCGCGAAAACUUUACAAUGCCGGCAACGGCGAUAAGGGAACCUCGAGUGCCAGGUUACAAAUCUGGCUGUCGUGAUGCCUAAAAAGCAUUGCAUAGCAAGGGCCGGGCAAGACCGGUGCCAGCCGCCGCGGUAACACCGGCGGCUCGAGUGGUAACCGUUGUUAUUGGGUCUAAAGGGUCUGUAGCCGGCCGGGUAAGUCUCUUGGGAAAUCUGGCAGCUUAACUGUCAGGCUUUCAGGAGAUACUGCCUGGCUCGAGGCCGGGAGAGGUGAGAGGUACUUCAGGGGUAGGGGUGAAAUCUUGUAAUCCUUGAAGGACCACCAGUGGCGAAGGCGUCUCACCAGAACGGACCUGACGGCAAGGGACGAAAGCUAGGGGCACGAACCGGAUUAGAUACCCGGGUAGUCCUAGCCGUAAACGAUACUCGCUAGGUGUCGGCCACGGUGCGACCGUGGUCGGUGCCGUAGGGAAGCCGUGAAGCGAGCCACCUGGGAAGUAUGGCCGCAAGGGUGAAACUUAAAGGAAUUGGCGGGGGAGCAC